rnacentral:rRNA from 1 species
CCUACGGGAGGCAGCAGUGAGGAAUAUUGGUCAAUGGACGAGAGUCUGAACCAGCCAAGUAGCGUGAAGGAUGACUGCCCUAUGGGUUUUAAACUUCUUUUAUAUGGGAAUAAAAUGUUCCACGUGUGGGAUUUUGUAUGUACCAUAUUAAUAAGGAUCGGCUAACUCCGUGCCAGCAGCCGCGGUACUACGGAGGAUCCGAGCGUUAGCCGGAUUUAUUGGGUUUAAAGGGAGCGUAGGUGGAUUGUUAAGUCAGUUGUGAAAGUUUGCGGCGCAACCGUAAAAUUGCAGUUGAAACUGGCAGUCUUGAGUACAGUAGAGGUGGGCGGAAUUCGUGGUGUAGCGGUGAAAUGCUUAGAUAUCACGAAGAACUCCGAUUGCGAAGGCAGCUCACUGGACUGCAACUGACACUGAGGCUCGAAAGUGUGGGUAUCAAACAGGAUUAGAUACCCUGGUAGUC